rnacentral:siRNA from 1 species
ACGGGUGUGGCCUGUAAUUUACC